rnacentral:lncRNA from 1 species
UUCCCAUAGUCUUCCAUUUUAGCUACAACUCAGCUAAUGGUGGGCCUUUGCAGGAUGACUAAAUUCUAGGAACAAAAUAAAAUGAGAAUUUAGAAUCCAGAUUCCUCAUUCUAUCUCUUUUGUGAAAUUAGAAACCAAGGGUUACCUUAGAAACCAGGACUCACCUCAGAGUCAAUUAGCAUAAGGUAGAUAACAUUUUCAUUUGUGGAAAGAUGUCCUUUUAGAUGGCAAGUAUCACAAGCAGACUCUGUUUCUUUGGAAAGGAUUAAUAAUGAUUUUGACUAGUAAUUGAACUGUGAUAUAGCAAGGGACAUCUGUAUGCAAAAUCUUGAUGGUUAUGGGCUGACCAAAAUGCACCUGGUGGAUCUGGCUGGUGACUUCCUGUGAACAGGCCUGGAUGCCAGUUGGAUCCUGGAACUCAGCCUGGAGGAACUCCCUCAGACAGCUUCCUUGAGAUGGUCACGUGGUCAUAUCAUCCAUCUGGAAACAUCACUACAAACACUACUUCCCUCCAAUUCACAGUGGAAACCCUCUCUUUUAAGAGAUAUGCAUAGUCCAGUAACUCAAAUCAACAGAUAAUUAAAUGUGAGAAUACACAUUUCAUUCUGUACACCUAUUCCAUCAACUCUCUGCCAAGAAGUGGAAGGUAAUAUUUCCUUAUCAAUAUUUUAAAGACACAAUUUGUCAAAAGUUUAGACUGCAUUGAGGUCAUUCAAAUUUGUUACCCCUUUCAGAAUUAUCGUGUUUGUCACAAAAAUUGUUCUUAAAGUCCUACUGAAGUCACUCUGUAUAUGUCAAUAAAAGUAUUUCCAUAUUACA